AUUGAACGCUGGCGGCAGGCCUAACACAUGCAAGUCGAACGAGUGGCGGACGGGUGAGUAAUGUCUGGGAAACUGCCUGAUGGAGGGGGAUAACUACUGGAAACGGUAGCUAAUACCGCAUACCAGCGGAUGUGCCCAGAUGGGAUUAGCUAGUAGGUGGGGUAAAGGCUCACCUAGGCGACGAUGCCUAGCUGGUAUGAGAGGAUGACCAGCCACACUGGAACGGAGACACGGUCCAGACGCCUACGGGAGGCAGCAGGGGGGAAGAGUGCACGAUGGGCGAAAGCCUGAUGCAGCCAUGCCGCGGGUAUGAAGAAGGCCUUCGGGUUGUAAAGUACUUUCAGCGGGGAGGCGUUACCCGCAGAAGAAGCACCGGCUAACUCCGUGCCAGCAGCCGCGGUAAUAC
rnacentral:rRNA from 1 species